GCGGCCUGUUAGGAAGUAGGCCACACCACCAGAGGUGAUCAGCGGAUAGGACCGCCUAGUUGCAAGAAAACAAGCUCAGAGCUCCCACCGAUUCUACACUAUGAUGAGCUAUAUAAUUAUUUCAUUAUAUAAUACAGCUUAAUAAUAAUAUAAAUAAAGCGCACAAUAUA